rnacentral:lncRNA from 10 species
UGUUUAAAGAACAUCAUCCCAUAUUUCCAAGAUUAGUUCCUAGAUACAGUACUACUCAUAUCACCGUGUUUCCUCACUACCUAAAGGAAAGAUCUGAAACCAACUGAAAUUAUUGACUGAAUUGAAUUACCUUGGAAAUAAACACCAUUUAAACAUUUUCAUUCUCACCCACUUCUUCAAGUAACAAAAUAAAUAAUGUGCUAUUUCUGCUCAGAACUUCCAAAAAUUAGUCUUUUAUUUUUUUCCUAGGUGCCUUAAAGGUCUUGUAGCUCUCCCCAUCAUCAAGCAAAACCAACCAAAAUUUAAAUGGCUGAUGUCCUUUAUCAAUUUUUGGAUGCCUGACAAAGGGGCUUAAGAAUUUUAGAUAAAUAAAACAAAUGAUGAAUUGCUGGAAAUGCAUAGGAAACAAAAUGACUAUUUAUAGAACAAAAUAAAAGACUUCCACGGGAAACUUAAAAACAUCAAUGGUUUUAUAUAUGCAUAUA